rnacentral:lncRNA from 1 species
AUGAAACCCAGAUUUCUGGGCCCCACUUCCAGAAUUUCUAAUUCAGUCGGUCUCGGGCUCAUGGGCCCGAGAUUGUGCAUUUCUAACAAGUUCUCAGGGGAUACCGAUGCUGCUGGUCCGGGGACCACGCUGAGGACCACUGGCUUGGCAGAUGAGUUCCCAUGCCGGCUUUAACAUUUCUCGGUGAGCCCUUGGGCCAGUUACUUUCCUCUCCCAGCCUCAAGCUCUUCAUCGGUAAAAACGGGAUGGUAACAUUUAUCUCAUGGGGGUAUUAUGAGAAUUAAAUAAGGCAAAACGUGUGAAGUACUCAGCAAAGGCCUUGACCUGUGCCAAGUCCUCUAUGCGUGGCAGCUGUACUAACGGUGGGCACUGAUUUUAUCGCAACCAAUGACAAAAAACGUUGGCCCACGAAGCCCGUUUAAUGUGGAAUAUCUUCCUCAGAUAGCAUACAGAGGGACACGUACGAAUUGACCCCCGACUGCCGCUUCUCUUCCAACGUAUGUGCCUUCCGGCACUGCCUCUCCAGCUCGAAUGUGCACGCGAAUCCUCCGUGACCUUAUCAGGAGGCAGUUUCAGGUUGAGUGGGUGUGAGGGACUGAACCGUGUCCCCCAAAGUUCGUACGCUGAAGCCCUAACCCUACCCUGACGGUAUUUGGAGGUGAGGCCUUUGGGAGGUGUUAGGUUUAGACGAGGUCUUGAGGGCGGGGCCGUCGGGCUGGGAUUAGUCCCCAUAGAAGCAGAGGCCCCAGAGAACUUGUUCCAUCUGCAUCACACGAGGACAGCAUGUACCGGGGGGCUUUGGGGAGAAAUAGGAAAAAUAAAACCUUUUAACGUUGUGUUUCGUUUUGUUUUGAGGAAGAUUAGCCCUGAACGAACAUCUGCUGCCAAUCCUCCUCUUUUUGGCUGAGGAAGACUGGCCCUGAGCUAACAUCUGUGCCCAUCUUCCUCUCCUUUUUUAUAUGUGGGACACCUGGCACAGCAUGGCUUGACAAGCGGUGCGUAGGUCCACACCCGGGAUCCAAACCGGCGAACCCCAGGCCACCAAAGCAGAACGUGUGAACUUCACCACUGUGCCACCAGGCCGCCCUGAAAAAUAAAAUCUUGGGG